CAGUAGCCGCGGGAAUACGAAGGGGGCUAGCGUUGUUCGGAAUUACUGGGCGUAAAGCGCACGUAGGCGGAUAUUUAAGUCAGGGGUGAAAUCCCAGAGCUCAACUCUGGAACUGCCUUUGAUACUGGGUAUCUUGAGUAUGGAAGAGGUGAGUGGAAUUCCGAGUGUAGAGGUGAAAUUCGUAGAUAUUCGGAGGAACACCAGUGGCGAAGGCGGCCCACUGGUCCAUUACUGACGCUGAGGUGCGAAAGCGUGGGGAGCAAACAGGAUUAGAGACCCCAGUAGUCCCUGUCUCUUAUAC
rnacentral:rRNA from 1 species